AACGAACGCUGGCGGCAUGCCUAACACAUGCAAGUCGAACGAGACCUUCGGGCCUAGUGGCGCACGGGUGCGUAACGCGUGGGAACCUGCCCUUAGGUUCGGAAUAACUCCCCGAAAGGGGUGCUAAUACCGGAUAAUGUCUUCGGACCAAAGAUUUAUCGCCUUUGGAUGGGCCCGCGUUGGAUUAGCUAGUUGGUAGGGUAAAAGCCUACCAAGGCGACGAUCCAUAGCUGGUCUGAGAGGAUGAUCAGCCACACUGGGACUGAGACACGGCCCAGACUCCUACGGGAGGCAGCAGUGGGGAAUAUUGGACAAGGGGCGAAAGCCUGAUCCAGCCAUGCCGCGUGAGUGAUGAAGGCCUUAGGGUUGUAAAGCUCUUUUACCCGGGAUGAUAAUGACAGUACCGGGAGAAUAAGCUCCGGCUAACUCCGUG
rnacentral:rRNA from 1 species